rnacentral:lncRNA from 1 species
GGGAAGCUAUUGAUUUGAGGAAUUUGAAGGUUUCUGGAGGAAGGACUUGGAAAAUUUGAAGUGAACCUCUUUUGGGAAUUAAAAGUCUGGAGAAUUUUGUUGACCCAGCAUCAAGUUCACUGAUCUUUUUUGUUGUGUACAAUCUGCUAUUCAGCACAUCCACUUCCAAAGUCAUGUUGCUGAUAUUGAAAUGUCAAUUCCUUGACCUUUGGAUGCACAUGGGAGUCUCAGAGAACAUUCCAAGCAUUUGAAAGCAAUGCCUCUGAGAACCUUGGAAUGGAGAAAGGGAACAAUGUCAUCUGCACUCAGUCAUGGAGGAAACAGCUGGACAAGUCAGCACAGGGCGGAGGUGACCGGUGGAGGCGACUAGGACUUCUUCAGGCAGCAUCUGAAGUCUCUCUGAAAACACAAGAAAAGAAUAUACAGAGAACCUCCCAGAAACUGCAAGUCCCAUGGAAAUUAAGGCCAUUAGUGUUUUGUAUAAUAAACAGUCACCUUUGCAUUUAAAAUGGACUAUUUUGUUUUGGAUAUAGGUGGAGUAGGAUAUAAAUGUAUACUUCCUUGCUUCUUAGUUUAUCAUAGGAAUCUAAGAAAAGAACUAAGGAUAAGAGAAAAGGAGGAAAAAAAGACAGCUCUGCUGCUUUUAUCUCAGGUUAUUUCAGAAAAAACAAAAUGAUAACCCUGCAAAAUUCUCAGCACUCUUCACUUUGGUUCCACCGCUUUCAGUGGGUGACUUGUCUGGAAAGGAAUCUCUUUUAGCCUUCCUGGCUAAUGAGCCAUGGCAGAUAAUGCCACAAGGUGUCACUAUUGCUAAAAUCGCUCUCCACCUACAGGAUCGAU